GAUUGUACCAACUGUCUGUGGAGAGACGGCAGAGGAAGUCACUGUGGAUUGUACCAACUGUCUGUGGAGAGACGGCAGAGGAAGUCACUGUGGAUUGUACCAACUGUCUGUGGAGAGACGGCAGAGGAAGUCACUGUGACCUGAUGAAGCUCAGGUGUUCCUGGACCCAUCAGAGGACAGAGACAGCUGCAGCAUCAGGACAGUCUGGGUAUCCAAAGGAAGACACAUCAAGAUGAACACUGACAGCAGAGCUCCAUUACCAGCUCACACUUCAGUAUACUAGAAACCUAAGAUACCUUGAUGAAGGACACGGUCUGCACAGUUUACAUAAAAGUUAUAGCUUUGUUACUUACAACAUGUGUAACUGGAAUAUGAAUGAAACAUAAAUAAAGUGUUUUACUUUUAAGAA